rnacentral:rRNA from 1 species
CGCAGCUGAUCCUUCAUUCCGGUGCAGACGAAGGCCUUCGGGUUGUAAACUGCUUUUGUACGGAACGAAAAGCUCUGGGCUAAUACCCUGGGGUCAUGACGGUACCGUAAGAAUAAGCACCGGCUAACUACGUGCCAGCAGCCGCGGUAAUACGUAGGGUGCAAGCGUUAAUCGGAAUUACUGGGCGUAAAGCGUGCGCAGGCGGUUUUGUAAGACAGAGGUGAAAUCCCCGGGCUCAAACUGGGAACUGCCUUUGUGACUGCAAAGCUGGAGUGCGGCAGAGGGGGAUGGAAUUCCGCGUGUAGCACGUGAAAUGCGUAGAUAUGCGGAGGAACACCGAUGGCGAAGGCAAUCCCCUGGGACCUGCACUGACGCUCAUGCACGAAAGCGUGGGGAGCAAACAGGAUUAGAUACCCUGAUAGUCCACGCCCUAAACGAUGUCAACUGGUUGUAGGGUCUUCACUGACUCAGUAACGAAGCUAACGCGUGAAGUAGACCGCCUGGGGAGUACGGCCGACAAGUUGAAACUCAACGGAAUUGACGGGGACCCGCACAAGACGGAGGAUGAUGUGGAU